AUCACGGUCUGAACAUAUCUAAUCUUAUGUAAUAGAACUCCUUGACUGAAGAUAUUGCCCGAGAACGUUGUAAGGGCGCGCCAUCGCGACGCUUCAAAAGAGAAAAACGCUUUACCGUGAUGCUAGUGAUGGAUUUUUCAUCUGGUCAAACCGGCAACAUCCACAAUACUCCUGCAAAUUGUAUCUCGAAAUGAAGAGUGUUCUUGGAGAAGAUCUUCAGUAGGAUAAUUUUACUGAAAUCAACUGAACUGUGAAGAGGAUAUCUUGGAUGUGUUGUAAUCUUGAGCUCUAUAUAAAGGUUUGAUAUUUGUAAGAAAAAGAAAAUUAAAGGUGAAGUACUCA